GAUGGGAAAUAAACAGAAGAACCGGGAACUUCUUCACACCAGAACUGUCUUCCUUGUGUGGCAGGAACAUCCAGAUGGAUGUUGGGAUUGUCAUGUGUGGCCAUGUUUCUAACACUCUACUACUGUAGCUCUUGAAGCAUGCUACAUGGCAAAGUAUACCAGGACAUGUGGGAGAGAGACCCAUUUAACACUGCUGUCUAAACCAGUGACCUCCAAAAUCAGGCAGACUAAAAACAUUUAGAGACUGCAUCCUGAAAUAAAUAUGCAAUUUAUGGAUUUGAUUUACUAUAAUGAAAAUGUAAAUUAUGAAACAUUCUAAAGAAACAUUCUAAAGAAAGGAUUAACAGCAGGUCUGAGGUUCUCCAAACACUGUUUCCCUGGAAACACUGUAGGUUAAGAUAAAAGGGAUAUAAAACACUGUAGGUUGCCAGCUGUGUUACCAGGCAACACUGUUUACUGCUGAUGGAAUGCAUCUGGACCACAACAACAGUGAGUGAACUAUAAAAUUAUGUCAGCACUCACAGACUUCAACUUCCUGUGGACAGAGCAUUCUCACAACUAAGAGCCUCCCUUGAAGAACCUGGACCCGACCAAGAUACUGCCUCCUAUGAAACAUGAGACUUCCCCAAGGCAAAGGUGGGGAUGGUCUCAGACCAGAUGGGCUCCUUAUAUCAAAUCCAAGUUACUACAGGGUACAAAUGGGAGAGGACGCAGAAAAUGGUUCCUGAACAACCAGAGUGAUUUUCAUUAAAGAGCAUCAUUCUGCUGACUGUCCAUAUUUCCUGCCUCAUGUCUUUUUGUGACAUCAAGAGGACCUGAUGUCAGUGAACACCUCGUUGAGCAUAUGAGGCCUCCCUGGUGGCACAGGUGGUUGAGAGGAGCGCUGUGCAUCUGUCCGCAGCCUCUGCAGUGCCAGUUCGAUCCUUGCCGGCCUCGGAGCAACCCACAUGCACUAAAUAUCACACGAAACACUGCUGAUUUAAUCAGGACAUCUUUUUCAAGCCUAUUACACAGCUCUAAACAGUGUUGCAGCCGAAUUCAUUGAUCAUCUUGAUAGAUACCUUGGUCUUAUUAAUUUUGAAGAACUCACUCUAGCAGAAAGUCAGAACAUGAAAACUAGGUAGGAUGAACAUAUCACUAUUAUAUCUCCUUUUUUGUGCAGGGAUCUGUGACUGUGAUUUUUUUUUUUUUUUCUUACCUUCUGGGAUCCUCGAAGGUAAGCCAGAAGUGUUCGGCACAUGGGUAAAAGGAUAAGGCUGCAGUUGAGAUUAAGAACAGACGCGGAUGCUCUGCUUAGGCAUAAUCCUAGCUGAACAAAUAAGGCAAGAGUCAAAAUACAGUCAAGGACAAAAGAAAAAACCUGCUGACUCACCUUGCUCGGCCUGCAAAGAUGAUGGAAAAUGCUAAACUCCUUUGAUAGUUUCAAACAAUCCUCCACGUUCCUCUCAACAAACCCCUAAAAGACGCUGGUCUCUUUCUGCUCUACAAUCACAUACAAUCUACAUGCCUCUCAUUUUAAGUCAGGUUAUAAUCAUCUGACUAAAUUCUUCCAGCAUGAGAUCAAUUUUGUGUUGUGCCCUACUAUAUUACGGUGGGUGUACAAGCCCUUGAGAGCCUCAAUAUAUUCUGUGUCUCCGCACUGGUGAUGAUGACUCCUCUGUUUACUAAUAAAGCACUGAUAAUUUCAAAUCAAGUAUUUGAAAUACUCACUCUCUCUCUCUCUCUCUGGAACACUCUGAGCACAAACCCUUCUACACCACUGUCUGAAUCUAAGCUCUUUAUCUUGAUGACUAAUCAUCCUUCAGAUUUCAUGUUAAGCACUAUUGUAGAUUUCUUCUCUGCCCAGAAACUUGGAUAAAUCCCCUAUCAGCUGUGCCUCAUUACAAAAUUAAUCAUAAGCACAUUGUGCAGCCUAUUUUUCAAAGGAUCAGUUCCCU